GUAACGCGUAUGCAAUCUACCCUUUACUGGGGAAUAGCCCGGAGAAAUUCGGAUUAAUGCCCCAUAUGCCCGCAGAAUCGCAUGGUUCAGUGGGGAAAGUUCCGACGGUAAAGGAUGAGCAUGCGUCCCAUUAGCUAGUUGGUGAGGUAACGGCUCACCAAGGCGACGAUGGGUAGGGGGCCUGAGAGGGUGAUCCCCCACACUGGUACUGAGACACGGACCAGACUCCUACGGGAGGCAGCAGUGAGGAAUAUUGGGCAAUGGAGGCAACUCUGACCCAGCUAUGCCGCGUGCAGGAAGACGGCCCUCUGGGUUGUAAACUGCUUUUGUUUGGGAAUAAACCCUCCUACGUGUAGGGGGCUGAAGGUACCUUACGAAUAAGCAUCGGCUAACUCCGUGCCAGCAGCCGCGGUAAUACGGAGGAUGCAAGCGUUAUCCGGAUUUAUUGGGUUUAAAGGGUCCGUAGGCGGAUCUUUAAGUCAGUGGUGAAAGCCCACAGCUCAACUGUGGAACUGCCAUUGAUACUGGAGAUCUUGAGUGUAGUAGAAGUAGGCGGAAUAGGGCAUGUAGCGGUGAAAUGCAUAGAUAUGCCCUAGAACACCGAUUGCGAAGGCAGCUUACUAUGUUACAACUGACGCUGAGGGA
rnacentral:rRNA from 1 species